AUGGUUUCUAUUCGAGGAACUAGGAAAGCUUCAUCUUGGUGGAUCAGGAACGUGCCUUUCAGGUUGGCCUUUCCAGCUUUGUUUCAUGUAGUAAGCAACAAGGAGGAGUGUACCACUGAUAGUGGCAAUUGGAGCAACGAAAUAUGGUCCUGGAUAAGUAUGUUUGAACUCCUAGCGUGGAUGGAUUUUUCUCAGUCAAAAGAUGCUAUGACAUUUUGUACGCAAUAG